GUACUCGAGCGGCGAACGGGUGAGUAACACGUGAGCAACCUGCCCCAAGCUUUGGGAUAACCCUCGGAAACGGGGGCUAAUACCGAAUAGGACUUCCGGCCGCAUGGCUGGGGGUGGAAAGUUUUUCGGCUUGGGAUGGGCUCGCGGCCUAUCAGCUUGUUGGUGGGGUGAUGGCCUACCAAGGCGACGACGGGUAGCCGGCCUGAGAGGGCGACCGGCCACACUGGGACUGAGACACGGCCCAGACUCCUACGGGAGGCAGCAGUGGGGAAUAUUGCACAAUGGGCGGAAGCCUGAUGCAGCGACGCCGCGUGAGGGAUGACGGCCUUCGGGUUGUAAACCUCUUUCAGCAGGGACGAAGCGAGAGUGACGGUACCUGCAGAAGAAGCACCGGCCAACUACGUGCCAGCAGCCGCGGUAAGACGUAGGGUGCGAGCGUUGUCCGGAUUUAUUGGGCGUAAAGAGCUCGUAGGCGGCUUGUCGCGUCGACCGUGAAAACUUGGGGCUCAACCCCAAGCCUGCGGUCGAUACGGGCAGGCUAGAGUUCGGUAGGGGAGACUGGAAUUCCUGGUGUAGCGGUGAAAUGCGCAGAUAUCAGGAGGAACACCGGUGGCGAAGGCGGGUCUCUGGGCCGAUACUGACGCUGAGGAGCGAAAGCGUGGGGAGCGAACAGGAUUAGAUACCCUGGUAGUCCACGCUGUAAACGUUGGGCGCUAGGUGUGGGGGACCUCUCCGGUUUCCUGUGCCGCAG
rnacentral:rRNA from 1 species